GACAGAGGGUGCAAACGUUGCUCGGAAUCACUGGGCGUAAAGGGCGUGUAGGCGGGUAGGCAAGUCGGGGCGUGAAAUCCCUGAGCUCAACUCAGGAACUGCACUCGAAACUGCUUAUCUUGAGUGCCGGAGAGGAAAGCGGAAGUACCUGGUGUAGAGGUGAAAUUCGUGAGAUAUCAGGUGGAACACCAGUGGCGAAGGCGG
rnacentral:rRNA from 1 species